CAAGGGGGAGACUUAGGGCUACACAGUAGGUGACCUGCGACUCUUCUGUCUCCCCCCCGGGCCUCCCGGGGAGGUUGCGGGUGAAAGGGGUGCCUCCGGCCGCACGCCCAUUCUUGUCUACUGACCCGGUUGCCUCGGCGGGCCGCGCCUGCUGUGCUACAGCGGCCGUUCGGGGGGGACGCCUGAGGGGGACUCUUGUUUCCUAGGCCACGCCCCGGGCAGCGCUCGCCGGAGGAUUACUCUGGAAAACACACUCUUGAAAGAACAUACCGUCUGAGCGAGCAACGCAAAUCAGUUAAAACUUUCAACAACGGAUCUCUUGGUUCCGGCAUCGAUGAAGAACGCAGCGAAAUGCGAUAAGUAAUGUGAAUUGCAGAAUUCCGUGAAUCAUCGAAUCUUUGAACGCACAUUGCGCCCCCUGGCAUUCCGGGGGGCAUGCCUGUUCGAGCGUCAUUUCAACCCCUCAAGCCCGGCUUGUGUGAUGGACGACCGUCCCCCCUCCCCAGUAACCACCCACCGCUUAGGGGGGUGGGAGGGAGGGGGACGCGCCCGAAAAGCAGUGGUCAGGCCGCGAUUCCGGCUCCUGGGCGAAUGGGACAUACCACCGCCUCCAGGACCGGCCGGCAGGCUGGCCUAACGCACCAUGUAUUAUUCAGGUUGACCUCGGAUCAGUAGGGAUACCCGCUGAACUUAAGCAUAUCAAUAAGCGGAAGGAAAGUACUCCCGCUUAUUGAAAAUCCCCCAAGGUCCCAUACGAAAGCGCUCCACGCUUAUGUAUAUGGACCAAAGCUAAUU
rnacentral:rRNA from 1 species